UACGUAGGGUGCAAGCGUUACUCGGAAUUACUGGGCGUAAAGCGUGCGCAGGCGGUUAUGAAGGCAGAGGUGAAAUCCCCGGGCUCAACCUGGGAACUGCCUUUGUGACUGCAUAGCUAGAGUGCGGCAGAGGGGGAUGGAAUUCCGCGUGUAGCAGUGAAAUGCGUAGAUAUGCGGAGGAACACCGAUGGCGAAGGCAAUCCCCUGGGCCUGCACUGACGCUCAUGCACGAAAGCGUGGGGAGCAAACAGG
rnacentral:rRNA from 1 species